rnacentral:lncRNA from 1 species
UUUUUUUUUUUUUGGCUUUUUUGCUAUUUCUUGGGCCGCUGCUGCGGCAUAUGGAAAUUCCCAGGCUAAGGGUCGAAUCUGAGCUGUAGACACCGGCCUACGCUAGAGCCACAGCAACGUGGGAUCCGAGCCGCAUCUGCAACCUACACCACAGCUCACGGCAACGCCGGAUCGUUAACCCACUGAGCAAGGGCAGGGACCGAACCCGCAACCUCAUGGUUCCUAGCUCUGCACAGGAAAACCUUCACAUUACCUCCUGGCAGAUCUCAGCUCUGAUGCUGCCUUCACCAUAAAACUUUCUCCACCAGCCCUCCUUUCUGGGAUUGAAACCAAGUCCACCCCAAACAGAACUCCCCUGCUGAGCUUACGAUUAACCUCUCCAUCCAAAAAUGUAUUCCCUUUCUUGCAAGCCCCUGCUCCCCUCAGGAUGGAGGAGUAUCAAAGAAAAGGAGGGACUGAAACCAAGCAGGACCCUGUAGAGCCCUCCCUGGGACAAAAGACCCCCCUGUCCCAUCCCUCAUUCCUUAUUUGUCUCCAAGGCCUCCCCUGAGUUCCAAAGAGCAGACACAAGGGAUUGCUAAUUAGGGAAGUGAGGGAAUGCAGAAAGAAAGGAAAUGCAGUGAAACAAGGAAGAACUAAUAGCUCAGUGAUAAAAGAGUCCUAAUUCCUCCUCAGGGGUAGACAUCAGAGUCUGGCGCACAUCUCUGAGUGAUUUGCAGGGACUAAGACCCCCACUCAGGUGAUCAGAGUCUGGCGCACAUCUGAGUGAUUUGCAGGGACUAAGACCCCCACUCAGGUGAUCAGAGUCUGGCGCACAUCUGAGUGAUUUGCAGGGACUAAGACCCCCACUCAGGUGAUCAGAGUCUGGCGCACAUCUGAGUGAUUUGCAGGGACUAAGACCCCCACUCAGGUGAUCAGAGUCUGGCGCACAUCUGAGUGAUUUGCAGGGACUAAGACCCCCACUCAGGUGAUCAGAGUCUGGCGCACAUCUGAGUGAUUUGCAGGGACUAAGACCCCCACUCAGGUGAUCAGAGUCUGGCGCACAUCUGAGUGAUUUGCAGGGACUAAGACCCCCACUCAGGUGAUCAGAGUCUGGCGCACAUCUGAGUGAUUUGCAGGGACUAAGACCCCCACUCAGGUGAUCAGAGUCUGGCGCACAUCUGAGUGAUUUGCAGGGACUAAGACCCCCACUCAGGUGAUCAGAGUCUGGCGCACAUCUGAGUGAUUUGCAGGGACUAAGACCCCCACUCAGGUGAUCAGAGUCUGGCGCACAUCUGAGUGAUUUGCAGGGACUAAGACCCCCACUCAGGUGAUCAGAGUCUGGCGCACAUCUGAGUGAUUUGCAGGGACUAAGACCCCCACUCAGGUGAUCAGAGUCUGGCGCACAUCUGAGUGAUUUGCAGGGACUAAGACCCCCACUCAGGUGAUCAGAGUCUGGCGCACAUCUGAGUGAUUUGCAGGGACUAAGACCCCCACUCAGGUGAUCAGAGUCUGGCGCACAUCUGAGUGAUUUGCAGGGACUAAGACCCCCACUCAGGUGAUCAGAGUCUGGCGCACAUCUGAGUGAUUUGCAGGGACUAAGACCCCCACUCAGGUGAUCAGAGUCUGGCGCACAUCUGAGUGAUUUGCAGGGACUAAGACCCCCACUCAGGUGGAGGAUGGUGACUGCAGGCUGAGCACAAACAUGGAGAUCCCAGACUGGCUGGAAUUAGAUGGACAACUAAGUUUCCGGAAGCAUCCUCUGUGACCUCCCACCAACCAAUCCGAAGACAGUCCAUGAGCAGCAGCCCUCACGCCCUCACCCCAAAGGUUGCUUUAAUAGUCCUUCCAUGCAAGCCAUGAGGGAGGUCGUAUCUUUGGAGCACGAGCAGCCUGUAUUCCUUGCUGGGUGCUACACCUUCCUUCACCAUAACCCCUUGCCAGUAUAUUGGUUUUGCUGCUCGGUUGGCAAGCUGACCCCAGUUCAGUUUGGUAACACGAGCACUUUAGCUCUCUGCCAUUCCAAUGUUUAUGAAAUGUUCAUUUAUCAAAGAGUUAAUGGCUUUCUGUCACGGGCACAGCACUGUGCUCAUGGAAUAAAGCCAUAUAGUUAUUUUCCGUACUAAAUGCUUAAACGAAAUACAAAACUAGACUUUAUCUCACUGAGAGCAUUUAUUGAUGGGAUCGAAAUGAUAAAUAUUCCAGACUCAAAGUUUUGGUUCUUUUUUUCAGGUCAAGCACACUCUUUGUCCUUGACUGAAGCAGUAUGUGACUUUGCCAGAAUUACGGAGCAUGGUGUUGUAUAAAAAGAACAACAAAGGACGUCAAAGAAAGAUAUCUCUUGAGUAAAAUCUAUGAAUAUCUAUGCUGACUUUUUAAUUUAAACAGAAUCCCAUAGGGUGACUCAAAGGAAAGACUUGAGGCAAACACAGGACAUUCGGCACUUAAAAUAUGGGGAAAUUAUCAUAGGGAUAAUUUUGUAAAUAAACCAAAGGACAGGACGUUUUAUUUGCCAUUGAAAAA